rnacentral:rRNA from 1 species
AUUCCAGCUCCAAUAGCGUAUAUUAAAGUUGUUGCGGUUAAAAAGCUCGUAGUUGGAUUUCUGUUGAGGACGGCCGGUCCGCACUAUGUGCGUGUAUCUGGUUCGGCCUUGGCAUCCUCUUGAGGAACGUAUCUGCGCUUGAUUGCGUAGAGCGGUAUUCAAGACUUUUACUUUGAGGAAAUUAGAGUGUUCACGGCAGGCAAGCGCCUUGAAUACGUUAGCAUGGAAUGAUAAUAUAGGAUCUUGGUUCUAUUUUGUUGGUUUCUAGAGCUAAGGUAAUGAUUAAUAGGGAUAAUUGGGGGCAUUUGUAUUAACGCGUCAGAGGUGGAAUUCUUGGAUUGCGUUACGACAAACUACUGCGAAAGCAUUUGCCAAGGAUGUUUUCAUUA